AGUGAACGCUGGCGGUAGGCCUAACACAUGCAAGUCGAACGGCAGCACAGUAAGAGCUUGCUCUUACGGGUGGCGAGUGGCGGACGGGUGAGGAAUACAUCGGAAUCUACUUUUUCGUGGGGGAUAACGUAGGGAAACUUACGCUAAUACCGCAUACGACCUACGGGUGAAAGCAGGGGAUCUUCGGACCUUGCGCGAUUGAAUGCGCCGAUGUCGGAUUAGCUAGUUGGCGGGGUAAAGGCCCACCAAGGCGACGAUCCGUAGCUGGUCUGAGAGGAUGAUCAGCCACACUGGAACUGAGACACGGGCCAGACUCCUAAGGGAGGCAGCAGUGGGGAAUAUUGGACAAUGGGCGCAAGCAUGAUCCAGCCAUACCGCGUGAGUGAAGAAGGCCUUCGGGUUGUAAAGCCCUUUUGUUGGGAAAGAAAAGCAGCAGGUUAAUACCCAGCUGUUCUGACGGUACCCAAAGAAUAAGCACCGGCUAACUUCGUG
rnacentral:rRNA from 1 species